AGUGAACGCUGGCGGUAGGCCUAACACAUGCAAGUCGAACGGCAGCACAGUAAGAGCUUGCUCUUACGGGUGGCGAGUGGCGGACGGGUGAGGAAUACAUCGGAAUCUACUUUUUCGUGGGGGAUAACGUAGGGAAACUUACGCUAAUACCGCAUACGACCUACGGGUGAAAGCAGGGGAUCUUCGGACCUUGCGCGAUUGAAUGAGCCGAUGUCGGAUUAGCUAGUUGGGGGGGUAAAGGCCCACCAAGGCGACGAUCCGUAGCUGGUCUGAGAGGAUGAUCAGCCACACUGGAGCUGAGACACGGUCCAGACUCCUACGGGAGGCAGCAGUGGGGAAUAUUGGACAAUGGGCGCAAGCCUGAUCCAGCCAUACCGCGUGGGUGAAGAAGGCCUUCGGGUUGUAAAGCCCUUUUGUUGGGAAAGAAAAGCAGCAGGUUAAUACCCCGCUGUUCUGACGGUACCCAAAGAAUAAGCACCGGCUAACUUCGUG
rnacentral:rRNA from 1 species